rnacentral:rRNA from 1 species
GACGAACGCUGGCGGCGGGCUUAACACAUGCAAGUCGAACGCGUGCAGCAAUGCACGGGUGGCGCACGGGUGAGUAACGAGGGGAGAUAUGCCUGUGGGUUCGGAAUAACCCCGGGAGACUGGGGCUAAUACCGGAUGGUUCCUACGGGAUAAAGAUUUUGCGCCAAAAGAUGGGUUCGCGUCCGAUUGGUUAGUUGGUGGGGUAAUGGCUCUCCAAGGCGACGAUCGGUAGCUGGUCUGAGAGGACGCUCAGCCACACCUGGGCUGAGGCCCGGCCCCGACUCCUACGGGAGGGAGCAGUGGGGAAUAUUGGACGAUGGGGCCAACCCUGAUCCAGCCAUGCCGGGGGAGUGAGGAAGGCGUUCGGGUUGUAAAGCUCUUUUGGCGGGGACGAUGAUGACGGUACCCGCAGAAUAAGCCCCGGCUAACUACGUG